CAGCGCGUGUGCGCAGGUCCGGUGCCUCAGUCCCAGGAAGGCGCCGCGCUCACAUAGACCCACAGACACACACAUCACCCCCAAAACACCCCUAAAAUAAGUAUGCAUACUGAAAUGUAUGGUAUAGUUUACAAAAAUGAUAAUCUAAUGUGUCUAGGCUGCAGUUUCCAAAUGGCUUCUCUAAGGCACAGGGUUAGCGCCAUCACUUUUAGCUUCACACUCACCCCAAAAUCUUUUUUAAAUGCCUACAGAAAUAAAUCGAAGCAAGUCUGUGGAAAACAGAAGGAGACAUCAACAGGCCAGAAACUUGCACUCCUUUCUGUCAAGUUUGAGAUAGAAGGGGUUGGAUGGGAGGAAAUGCCAGUUUGACAUUCAGGAUGUUUGUUCUUUCAAGAAAUAGUUACUGAGUGCCUGUGAUUACCAGGUACAGCAGAUGCAGGAGUGAACAGAAUAACAGAACAUGUGUUUGCUCAGGGAUCUUACAUUUUAAUGGGAGAAUUCACCUUCCAGGCCUUACAGGAAGGCGCUAGGCCUGCCUAGAGAAUUCUAGAACAUUCUUAAGGUCAGAAUACGGGCGUAGAGCAGGAGCAAGCUGUGGGCCAGUUGGUGGAGCCCAUCACGUAACUUCGGGAACCACUGCAGCACCUUAGCUAUACACACAGGGCUAAGUAGCUAUGACCUUUAUCCACAAACUUCACUUCUGUACUGACGGAAAGCAUUAAAAUGUUACUUUUUGAGCUGGCAAAACGGUGGACUUCUAUAACGAUUUCUUUUCUCCUUGAGAAGUAGAUAGAGGAUCUGAGGACAGCAGCCAUAAGCCAUGGCCUGCUUUGAAGACCAGCAGAUGGGAGAGAUAGGCAUCCUGAGACAUUCUUUCUUUGGUAUCCUCAACACUACUAUCACUAUGUUUGUUGGAAGGGGCAUGAUGAUGCUGCAAAAAAAUCAGCAUAUUACCUUGAACCUCACAAAGACUGGACUAGGACCUGCAGACUUCUGUUCAGUUCCAGAUUAUUUGGAG
rnacentral:lncRNA from 1 species